AGCGAACGCUGGCGGCAGGCUUAACACAUGCAAGUCGAGCGGGCACUUUCGGGUGUCAGCGGCGGACGGGUGCGUAACGCGUGGGAACGUGCCCUCUGGUUCGGAAUAACUCAGGGAAACUUGAGCUAAUACCGGAUACGCCCUUUUGGGGAAAGGCUUGCUGCCGGAGGAUCGGCCCGCGUCUGAUUAGCUAGUUGGUGAGGUAACGGCUCACCAAGGCGACGAUCAGUAGCUGGUCUGAGAGGAUGAUCAGCCACACUGGGACUGAGACACGGCCCAGACUCCUACGGGAGGCAGCAGUGGGGAAUAUUGGACAAUGGGCGCAAGCCUGAUCCAGCCAUACCGCGUGAGUGAUGAAGGCCUUAGGGUUGUAAAGCUCUUUUAUCCGGGACGAUAAUGACGGUACCGGAGGAAUAAGCCCCGGCUAACUUCGUG
rnacentral:rRNA from 1 species